rnacentral:rRNA from 1 species
GGUUAAGCGAAUAAGCGUACACGGUGGAUGCCUAGGCAAUCAGAGGCGAUGAAGGACGUGCUAAUCUGCGAAAAGCGUCGGUAAGGUGAUAUGAACCGUUAUACCCGACGAUAUCCGAAUGGGGAAACCCAGUAUCCAAUGGAUACUAUCAUUAACUGAAUUCAUAGGUUAAUGAGGCGAACCGGGAGAACUGAAACAUCUCAGUACCCCGAGGAAAAGAAAUCAACCGAGAUUCCCCUAGUAGCGGCGAGCGAACGGGGAGCAGCCCAGAGUCUUAAUCAAUAGCAGUGUCAGGAGAACGGUCUGGAAAGUCCGGCAGUAAAGGGUGAUAGCCCCGUAUCUGAAGAUGCUGUUAUUGUGAACUCGACGAGUAGGGCGGGACACGUGUUAUCCUGUCUGAAUAUGGGGGGACCAUCCUCCAAGGCUAAAUACUCCUGAUUGACCGAUAGUGAACCAGUACCGUGAGGGAAAGGCGAAAAGAACCCCGGCGAGGGGAGUGAAAAAGAACCUGAAACCGUGUACGUACAAGCAGUAGGAGCCUCUUUAUGGGGUGACUGCGUACCUUUUGUAUAAUGGGUCAGCGACUUAUAUUCUGUAGCAAGGUUAACCGCAUAGGGGAGCCGUAGGGAAACCGAGUCUUAACUGGGCGAAUGAGUUGCAGGGUAUAGACCCGAAACCCGGUGAUCUAUCCAUGGGCAGGUUGAAGGUUGGGUAACACUAACUGGAGGACCGAACCGACUAAUGUUGAAAAAUUAGCGGAUGACUUGUGGAUGGGGGUGAAAGGCCAAUCAAACCGGGAGAUAGCUGGUUCUCCCCGAAAGCUAUUUAGGUAGCGCCUCGUGAACUCAUCUUCGGGGGUAGAGCACUGUUUCGACUAGGGGGUCAUCCCGACUUACCAACUCGAUGCAAACUGCGAAUACCGAAGAAUGUUAUCACGGGAGACACACGGCGGGUGCUAACGUCCGUCGUGAAGAGGGAAACAACCCAGACCGCCAGCUAAGGUCCCAAAGUCAUGGUUAAGUGGGAAACGAAGUGGGAAGGCUCAGACAGCCAGGAUGUUGGCUUAGAAGCAGCCAUCAUUUAAAGAAAGCGUAAUAGCUCACUGGUCGAGUCGGCCCGCGCGGAAGAUGUAACGGGGCUAAACCAUGCACCGAAGCUGCGGCAGCGACACAAUGUGUUGUUGGGUAGGGGAGCGUUCUGUAAGCCUGCGAAGGUGUACUGUGAGGUAUGCUGGAGGUAUCAGAAGUGCGAAUGCUGACAUAAGUAACGAUAAUGCGGGUGAAAAACCCGCACGCCGGAAGACCAAGGGUUCCUGUCCAACGUUAAUCGGGGCAGGGUGAGUCGACCCCUAAGGCGAGGCUGAAAAGCGUAGUCGAUGGGAAACGGGUUAAUAUUCCCGUACUGGUGGUAACUGCGAUGGGGGAACGGAGAAGGCUAGGUUGUCCGGGCGACGGUCGUCCCGGUUCAAGCAGGUAGGCAGAGUGAUUAGGCAAAUCCGGUCACUUAAUGCUGAGAUGUGAUGACGAACCACUAAGGUGGUGAAGCAAUUGAUGCCCCGCUUCCAGGAAAAGCCUCUAAGCUUCAGGUUACCAACAAUCGUACCCCAAACCGACACAGGUGGUCAGGUAGAGAAUACUCAGGCGCUUGAGAGAACUCGGGUGAAGGAACUAGGCAAAAUGGUGCCGUAACUUCGGGAGAAGGCACGCUGGCGGUAGGUAAAGUCCCUCGCGGACAGAGCUGAAGCCAGUCGAAGAUACCAGCUGGCUGCAACUGUUUAUUAAAAACACAGCACUGUGCAAACACGAAAGUGGACGUAUACGGUGUGACGCCUGCCCGGUGCUGGAAGGUUAAUUGAUGGGGUUAGCGCAAGCGAAGCUCCUGAUCGAAGCCCCAGUAAACGGCGGCCGUAACUAUAACGGUCCUAAGGUAGCGAAAUUCCUUGUCGGGUAAGUUCCGACCUGCACGAAUGGCGUAAUGAUGGCCAGGCUGUCUCCACCCGAGACUCAGUGAAAUUGAACUCGCUGUGAAGAUGCAGUGUACCCGCGGCAAGACGGAAAGACCCCGUGAACCUUUACUAUAGCUUGACACUGAACAUUGAGCCUUGAUGUGUAGGAUAGGUGGGAGGCUUUGAAGUGUGGACGCCAGUCUGCAUGGAGCCAACCUUGAAAUACCACCCUUUAACGUUUGAUGUUCUAACCUAGGCCCGUGAUCCGGGUCGGGGACCGUGUCUGGUGGGUAGUUUGACUGGGGCGGUCUCCUCCUAAAGAGUAACGGAGGAGCACGAAGGUUGGCUAAGCAUGGUCGGACAUCAUGCGGUUAGUGCAAAGGCAUAAGCCAGCUUGACUGUGAGAGUGACGGCUCGAGCAGGUACGAAAGUAGGUCUUAGUGAUCCGGUGGUUCUGAAUGGAAGGGCCAUCGCUCAACGGAUAAAAGGUACUCCGGGGAUAACAGGCUGAUACCGCCCAAGAGUUCAUAUCGACGGCGGUGUUUGGCACCUCGAUGUCGGCUCAUCACAUCCUGGGGCUGAAGUAGGUCCCAAGGGUAUGGCUGUUCGCCAUUUAAAGUGGUACGCGAGCUGGGUUUAGAACGUCGUGAGACAGUUCGGUCCCUAUCUGCCGUGGGCGUUGGAAGAUUGAGAGGGGUUGCUCCUAGUACGAGAGGACCGGAGUGAACGCACCACUGGUGUUCGGGUUGUCAUGCCAAUGGCAUUGCCCGGUAGCUAAGUGCGGAAGAGAUAACCGCUGAAAGCAUCUAAGCGGGAAACUUGCCUCGAGAUGAGUCUUCCCUGUCGCUUAAAGCGACCUAAAGGAACGUUUAAGACGAAGACGUUGAUAGGCUGGGUGUGUAAGCGUAGCGAUACGUUGAGCUAACCAGUACUAAUGAACCGUGAGGCUUAACCUG